rnacentral:rRNA from 1 species
UACGGAGGAUCCAAGCGUUAUCCGGAUUUAUUGGGUUUAAAGGGUGCGUAGGCGGAAUAGUAAGUCAGUGGUGAAAACCUGCAGCUUAACUGCAGAACUGCCAUUGAUACUGCUAAUCUUGAGUACAUUUGAUGUGGGCGGAAUGUGUCAUGUAGCGGUGAAAUGCAUAGAUAUGACACAGAACACCGAUUGACGAAGGCAGCUCACAAAACUGUAAACUGACGCUG